AUUUGAAGCGUGUCUGUCUGAGCUUGCCACGUGACGUGAAUAUUCCUCGCCUCUUGCAGUGUACACAUACUUUUCCAUGACCAUUUGCUUUGCUGAGGCUAUGGGGCUGACCAGAUACGUACGUUAUUCCUCCUGAAGAAAAUUGUCCACAAUCUUCGUGCCGUCAGUCAGCCCUUGUACCGCCAGAAGUUCCGCAGUUGUCAAAAAACUGGCUAACUGCUCCUGUACAACGUUGACUUCUCCCUGGUACAUGAAGUCAACGAGUGCCGCGAGAUCAUCAAAUUUUACAUUACGAAAUAUGAUAACUGGAUGUUGACAAGGAUUCUCCUGAAAAAGAAAAGAAUAUGUCAAGACAUUUAUAUUCCGUCUAAUUUUACCCAUGAUUGACUCUUUAGCGUUCAAAAUACCCUCAAGAAAAUUGAUACAUGCUAAUGCAGAAUAGAAAAUAGUUUUCCUAGUUUUCUAAGGCUUUCCAGUACUUGGGAUGUUCAUAGAUUAUAUAAUAUUUCGAUCAUCGUUAUGGAUUCACACAAAGUCUAGAACAUUUUUUGGGCACUAAACCUUUCCAUUUUUGAACGUGUUAUUCGGGAGAUUGAGCUGACUAUUAAGAACCUUUUUGUAAAAAUAAGAGCAAGAAAUAGUUUUGAUGACAAUUGAAAAACUAGAAAUUCAGAAAAAAUGUAAGAGUCAAUUGUACAAAUUUUUCAUCACCAUGGAAUUACAAAUGGAAAUCUCUCAUGGUUUUUGCUUGUGAAAUAAACUUUAUUUUGCAAAAUGUUA